UUGACCGACGGCGCGCGCGAAUCUUGCUCUAGCGGCCUGUAGUCCAUUGAAAACCUUUUAGUUUAUAUUUAAUCGCUGUCGUGGCAAGAGUGAGUCGUCCGGGAGUUUGCUGGAUCGCCGCCGCCGUCAACAGGGAGAGAGUGCGCGUCUAUAGAGUGGGAGAAAGUGUGCUAAUGUAAUCACCAAAGUAUUCAAAUCAGUGAAGAAAAGAGGAAGAUUAACCCAGAUUCGCCGUACUACUACCCGGUGGGCAACGAAGAAUCAGCAACUUCAUCUCGACGAAGCAGGCAGGGAGUUGGUCGCGAUCGCAGUGAUCUGUGACCUGUAACGAGCAUCAGUAGCAGCGAGUUGUUCUAGCAAGGCCAACUGCGAUCCGCCGUCGAUUAAUUCAUAACCCACCGAGCCGCCGCCGAGUACAUUAUGUCGAACACGUUGUCGAACGGCGGCUCGAGACCGACGUCACGAUGGAAGCGUUUUCUCAAGUCCAACUUGCUCACCUUCCUCACGGUGAUCGGUGUGUUCGGCGGCACCACGUUAGGCUUAAUGCUCAAAAACUCCUCCGAUCCAUGGACGCAGCGCGAAGUGAUGUACAUCCAGUACCCGGGCGAUCUGUUCCUGCGGAUGCUCAAAUGUCUGAUCGUGCCACUGCUGGUGUCGUCCAUAACCAGUGCCAUCGGAUCGCUCGAUCUCAGCAUGUCGAAGAAGAUCGCGUUCCGGGCGAUCAUCUACUACUUUACCACUACGAUCUGUGCCGUCGUGCUGGGCAUCAUUCUGGUCAGUACGAUACGGCCCGGUUCCGGUAAAGAAAUGGGCAGCAUGAAGGGCAAGGCCACGACCCGGGUGGUCCUCACCGCAGAUACGCUUCUAGAUUUAAUCCGAAACUUGUUCCCACCAAAUAUCGUCCAAGCAACCAUGUUCCAGUAUCGCACAAUUCUAGUCGCACCGGAGAAUACAACUGAUGUCCCCCUAACGAGCUACAAGAUCACCAAUGAGUUCACCGAGGGCACCAACGUGCUCGGCCUGGUCAUGUUCUCGAUCGUGCUGGGCGCCUGCAUCGGCAAGAUGCGUGAAGCCGGCAAACCCCUGCAGCGCCUGUUCGAAACCCUGAGCGAAGCGAUGAUGAUCAUCACCUCGUGGGUCAUCUGGAUCUCGCCGAUCGGUGUGUUCUUCCUGGUGGCCGCCAAACUGCUCGAGAUGGCCUCGUUCAUGGAGGUGCUGGGCCAGCUCGGCUGGUACUUUGUCACUGUGAUGAUCGGGCUGAUUCUGCACGGAUUUGGUACAAUUUCGGUGAUCUUCUUCCUGACCACGCGGAAGCUCUCGUUCCCGUACAUCGCCAAGAUGAGUCAGGUGUUGGCGACGGCGUUCGGAACCGGUUCCAGCUCGGCCACGAUGCCAAUCACGAUCCGCUGUCUGGACAGCAUGGGCAUUGAUCCUCGCGUGACCCGAUUCGUGAUUCCCGUGGGAGCGACCAUCAACAUGGACGGGACGGCACUGUACGAGGCCGUGGCCGCGCUGUUCAUUGCCCAGCUGCGGCAGAUUCCGCUGUCCUUUGGUCACAUCGUCGCCGUGAGUGUAACUGCCACUGCCGCCUCGAUCGGUGCCGCCGGCAUUCCGCAGGCCGGUUUGAUUACCAUGGUCAUGGUGCUGGACACCGUCGGGCUGCCCGCCGAGGACGUCACGAUCAUCAUCGCCGUCGACUGGCUGCUGGAUCGAUUCCGUACCACGAUCAACGUGAUGUGCGACGCCCUGGGCACGAUUCUGGUGAAUGCCCUGUCGAAGAACGACCUGGCGAAUGCGCCCCAUGAAGUUAAUGUGCAUUAGAUGGAAAACGUAUUUUUGAAAAUUAUAUACACUUUUGUUAGAGCAAAAAUAGCUCGACGCCGAACCCCACGAACUGGUCGAACUGCGGCAAGACUGCAAUGAGAAAGAGUAAAACAAACGCAAGACCAACCAACCACCCGAACCCGAACCAAUCUACGUAAAUUGCACCACAAGACCUCCUCGGAUCCUCACCGCGUCGAUGUUCUUCCCGAAAGAAAAAAAAAAAUCAAAAAGUAGAAAGCCCCAUCCUCAACCACGUGUGCCAAAUGUGUUUGCGUGUGCGUGUGAACCACCCUAAUGUCCCAACACUAGAAAAGAGAGAGUCCAUUUUUGAGUGUGAAUUUCAACAAACGAAAAAAAAAACAACCAACCAAUAGAGAUAUUUCGCAGCGGAGCCGUUUGUGAACGGACCGAAUCGGUGGUGACUGGCCAUUUUCCCCCAAGGGGACACCGCUAGUAUAAAAGUCGCCCAAAAUCGCCCCAUUGUUCGUCGUCAUUUCAUUGUUCAUUGUUAGAUGUUAGCAAACGCAUUCGUUAAAACACGUGUGUAAUGGUUAGGUGUAGAGACAGAAGGAUGGUAGCGAAAAAAAAA